rnacentral:rRNA from 1 species
AUUGAACGCUGGCGGCAGGCCUAACACAUGCAAGUCGAACGGUAACAGGAAGCAGCUUGCUGCUUUGCUGACGAGUGGCGGACGGGUGAGUAAUGUCUGGGAAACUGCCUGAUGGAGGGGGAUAACUACUGGAAACGGUAGCUAAUACCGCAUAACGUCGCAAGACCAAAGAGGGGGACCUUAGGGCCUCUUGCCAUCGGAUGUGCCCAGAUGGUAUUAGCUAGUAGGUGGGGUAACGGCUCACCUAGGCGACGAUCCCUAGCUGGUCUGAGAGGAUGACCAGCCACACUGGAACUGAGACACGGUCCAGACUCCUACGGGAGGCAGCAGUGGGGAAUAUUGCACAAUGGGCGCAAGCCUGAUGCAGCCAUGCCGCGUGUAUGAAGAAGGCCUUCGGGUUGUAAAGUACUUUCAGCGGGGAGGAAGGGAGUAAAGUUAAUACCUUUGCUCAUUGACGUUACCCGCAGAAGAAGCACCGGCUAACUCCGUG